UCCAAAUUUUGUUUUCAAGGUACAUUGUUCAUCAAAACUCGACUAGCCAGCGGUUCGAUAAAACCAAAUUACGCUCUCCGACCUAUUUUUGCGUUGCAUGUUUGAGCUUCAGGUUCGAUGUUCGAUGAUGCAGCAGUGUGACCGUCUGACCUCAAAGAUAUACCAGACAAAUGAGAUGACAAAUACCUGAUCAAUUUGUGGUAAAUUAGUGGAAUAGAAAGUAAAAUUUAAUCUCCGCCGAAGCUGAGGGAUCCCAGACCCAAAGACCUCUGGAGGAUCGCGUAGCAAUUUCUGUUUGUACGUUUCCGCUGAAUAAACUGGCACAUCUAUAUACUGGUUCCACCAUGGUUAGAGUUUGAAAUUCCGUUACAAAUAUGCUAAUAUGUAUAAUUCUGAUAAGGUAAUCAUUCCCAUAGGAAUUCCCGCCCCCUGCAAAUUAAAAAACAAAAAACACCUGCA